rnacentral:sRNA from 1 species
UAGGGAUGGCAGUGGAAAGUCCGCAGUGUGUAUUCGUAUAGCGCGGAGACCAGGCGAGGACUUGGAACGUACAGCCCGGGCCGCA